AUAGUGAAGCAUUGAUAACUACCCUUUGAGUACAGUCUUUCAUCCAUUUGUGCACCCACUUUAUAAUAAUUUCAUCUAGACCAUAUUUCUCUAGUUUGCUUAUUAGAAUGUCAUGUGUGACUGUGUCAGAAGCUUUACUAAUGUCCAGAUCAGGGCUUGUUAUGAGGCAGAAAA